rnacentral:lncRNA from 1 species
CCCAGAGUCCAGACCAUUCACCCUAGCUCCAUUGGAUUCCUUUUCCAGGCUCUUGUAAACACGGCUGUUGCAUCUAACCCAUGGCACUCGACAGCAGGAGCUGGGGCAAAGAGAAGCAGAGUGCAGAAAUACAAAAAAUCCUGGACAUGGAGGCAUCUGGUGCUGUAACCAUGCUGGUUAGGGAACAGACCAGCUGAAAACCGCAUUGCAGUAUGGAUGACUGAACAACUCACUGAUAAGAGAUUGAAGCUGAAGAAGAAGUUUCUAGGCUUUGCACCCAAGAGCCCACCAACCCUGGGGUCAGGCAGAGGAGAGUUAGCAUUUCCCAGAAGGCCUAACGGGGAAACAAAGAACAAAAGAACACAUUGAGAAAUACCUAAACGCCAGAUAGUCACUACUCCAAGGCGCUCUUUUCUCAGUAUCAAACCAGCAUGGCAACUAGGAUGACGGGUG